UUGUCGAUGAUGAAGAAGAUUGAGUUUCGGAAGUAGCCAUGGGGAUUAAGAACAUAUGAGGAUUAAAACAGAAGAAAAGAAGAGAUGAAGCUUAACAAAGGAAAGAAGAGAGUUUAGCCGAAAUCUGGCCAGAGAAGAUGACCCGAGAUCUAACGGUUGCUGAAAACCUAACUGCCAUGUGAAAGGUCUAAUACUUAACUGUUUUCUCUUUAGUAAUAAUUUGGAGGUUGCAUCAUCUAUUUAUAGAUAAUCUCAACUACCUCAAAUAACAUAACAAAUUAACAACUAUACAUACAUAUACAUGAUGUUAUCCGGUUUUAUAAACCAGGCUGACCGUUCGAUCCGGUUCUGAAAACAUUACUUGGAAUAAGAGUUCAUGCUACAUUUUAUUAUUAAGCUACUUUAAACAGAGUUAUUACUCCACUAAUUUCUUGGUUAAUUGGGUUUUCUUUUCUUUUGUUAACAUUCAUUUUACAAGACAUACAAGUGAGACGUCUACUCUAGACGAAGUGUUGGGUGGGCUUCACCGCGUUGUAUUAAGCUUCUUAUAAAUUGGUUCCCAUCAAUGUGGUCGAUAGUUAUUUGCUGCGACACUGCGAUUUCUAUUUGAAGGAGAGUUUGAGAGUGAGAAUUGAAGCAAGGGAGACAAGGGCUACAAAUGAUCACUUCUUUCGAAGGGCCAAAGAAGAUAAGAUAGAAGAAGCUACUGAACCCAAGAAUGCAAUAAGAAGGAAUCCAGCAGAAACAUAAACCAUGUUGAAGAAGUUAUCAAGCUUUGAUCGAAUUUGAGAAAGAAAGAACACACCAUGUAACUCAAGAUAGUCAUCCCACUGAUCAAGGCUCCUCUUCAAAUCUAAUGUAGCACCAAAUGCCGCACCAACACCUGUAGCUAGAAGGGACAAUAGAAGCUGCAAAGAAGUUUAAUCAGUUAAACAUGUAAUGUCAAGACAAGGUAUAAAACAUACUUCCACUUUAUGAGUAAAAACUUAUACAACAGUACUUCUUAUGGCUUUACUUUGAUGGAAGUAUGUAAAAUUAUUGCUUCAAGCUUCGAUACAUUUGCACUCCCUAGUUCGUGGAACACAUAUUUAAUAGAUCAUAUAAGGAUAUACUGAAGGAGUUACUCUCGAUAAGUUGAAACCUGAACGAAUUAAAGGGUUGAAGUUGUGAAUUAUAAUAUGUUUAUUGACUGUUUUAAUUAAUUAUUUAAACGGGUUUGAGUCAUAG
rnacentral:lncRNA from 1 species